GACGAACGCUGGCGGCGUGCCUAAUACAUGCAAGUCGAACGCAGUGGGGACGGGUGAGUAACACGUGGGUAACCUCCCAUCAGAGGGGAUAACACUUGGCAACAGGUACUAAACAGAUACUGAUGGAUGGACCCGCGGUGCAUUAGCUAGUUGGUGAGGUAACGGCGGAUCAAGGCCAGGAUGCAUAGCCGACCGGAAAGGUUGAUGGGCCACACUGGGACUGAGACACGGCCCAGACUCCACCGGUAGGCAGCAGUAGGGAAUCGUCGGCAAUGGACGAAAGUCUGACCGAGCAACCCCGCGGGAGAGAAGAAGGUUUUCGGAUCGUAAAACUCUGUUGUUAGAGAAGCGGUAUCUAACCAGAAAGCCACGGCUAACUACGUGCCAGCAGCCGCGGUAAUAC
rnacentral:rRNA from 1 species